UCCUUAGCCCAAAAACAAACUUUCCCCUACACAAAUACCCUGCACAAAAAAAUCGUAGAAAAAUGCUGCGUUAUCCGGAACCCAAUUACGCGUCGCCCGAAAACAUUAAAGCCUAACUCCUAAAUGAGGGGCACACUGUGUGUGUGCGUGUGUGUGUGUGUCUGCGUAGCUCCCGACCAGAAAAACAGAAGCCACCGCGGAGGAGGAUGGAAAAAAUCAAGUUUGCAUUUCAACACAUGCUGUUGCCACCAUUCCACCCCUGGAAAAAAAACCCCAUUUGCGGAGGAAGAGGAACCCUGGGGGCAUUUUCAUGCCCAGCCAUCCAUGUAGUUUCACGCUGAUGUCGGGGUGUUGCUGCCACGCCCAUUUCUCCCAUUCCCGCCCCAAUAGUAGUAGCCUAGUCCAGGACUCUCGCUGUCCUGACAUUUGCUAUAGUCGCUCUUUUUUGCACAGUCUUAUAACAGCAAAAAUAUAUAAGAAAGGAGAAAAAAUUAAUUAUAUUCCUUGAGACGGAAGUAAUGAUUGGGGAAUGGUCUUUGCUGAGUUCAUCCCAAAUAACAUGAAAUAUUUCGGUUUUUCUAGCACAAGAAUUCGAGAGACAUAAAAACUUUAUGUUUAUUGAGGGAGAAAUAAAUUUUAAAUAUAUAUAAUUUGCUGCCAGAAUAACUAAUUCCCAUGGAAAUACAAGUACUUUAUCUUAAAUUUAAAGAAAUUUGUAGUGAGAAAGUGUAUUUGAAAAUCCGUAUUUCCGUAAAUAAACCUUUUUAAACAA
rnacentral:sRNA from 1 species